rnacentral:rRNA from 1 species
AGGACGAACGCUGGCGGCGUGCUUAACACAUGCAAGUCGAGCGACGCUCCUCCUUCGGGAGGAUGACGGAGCGGCGAACGGGUGAGUAACACGUGGGCAACCUGCCCCUAGCUCUGGGAUAAGCCCGGGAAACCGGGUCUAAUACCGGAUAUGAGUUCGGAAGGCAUCUUCUGACCUGGAAAGUUUUUCGGCUAGGGAUGGGCCCGCGGCCUAUCAGCUUGUUGGUGAGGUAACGGCCCACCAAGGCGACGACGGGUA